rnacentral:rRNA from 1 species
AUGUCCCCACCACCAGCCGGCGCCGCCGCCUCGCCGCACCUCCCGCACCUGUUGUUCCCUACCACUACGACCACCACCGUGGGUGCAGGGGCUGGAGCAGCAACGAUGGAGGCGCGGCAAGAGGGGCAGGUGGCGCAUGUGCGGAGCCAAGCGUCGACGCAAACAACGUGGAAGGUGUGGCAGCACCGCGGGAGAACGCGCACGCCCUCCCCCUCUGCGAACUCGGCCAGGCAUAUCGCACACUCCGUUGCUGCCGGCUGUGGUGACGCUGCGGCGGCAAAGGAGACGGUGGGGAGCGCGUCGAUUGCCUUCUUCUUGAGGCCCUUUUGGGGUGGGUUAGAGGAGGAAGUGGAGCUGGAGCGUCGGUGUCGGCAUGCACACCGGGAGGCGAGUGCGAGUCCAAGGACGCAGACGAGCGCGCACAGCAGCGAUGCCAGGAUGACCGUCAUGUCCGAGUCCAACGCCAUCGGCGCCGCCUGCUCCGGUGGUGGCUGUGUUGAGGCAGGCGACGACGACGAGGCCUCUCCAGUACCGGCAGCGAUAAGGGCGGCCGCGCGGUGCAGGACUCUCGCCGGGGCGCGCAUGGUGUCGCUGAAGUAA